rnacentral:rRNA from 1 species
UUGUAGCCCUUCUAUGGUAUAACUUAGUGGCAGACGGGUGAGUAAUGUAUAGGAAUCUACCUAGUAGUACGGAAUAAUUGUUGGAAACGACAACUAAUACCGUAUACGCCCUACGGGGGAAAAAUUUAUUGCUAUUAGAUGAGCCUAUAUUAGAUUAGCUAGUUGGUGGGGUAAUAGCCUACCAAGGUAAUGAUCUAUAGCUGAUCUGAGAGGAUGAUCAGCCACACUGGAACUGAGAUACGGUCCAGACUCCUACGGGAGGCAGCAGUGGGGAAUAUUGGACAAUGGGCGAAAGCCUGAUCCAGCCAUGCCGCAUGAGUGAAGAAGGCCUUUGGGUUGUAAAGCUCUUUUAGUGAGGAAGAUAAUGACGGUACUCACAGAAGAAGUCCUGGCUAACUCCGUGCCAGCAGCCGCGGUAAUACGGAGAGGGCUAGCGUUAUUCGGAAUUAUUGGGCGUAAAGGGCGCGUAGGCUGGUUAAUAAGUUAAAAGUGAAAUCCCGAGGCUUAACCUUGGAAUUGCUUUUAAAACUAUUAAUCUAGAGAUUGAAAGAGGAUAGGGGAAUUCCUGAUGUAGAGGUAAAAUUCGUAAAUAUUAGGAGGAACACCAGUGGCGAAGGCGUCUAUCUGGUUCAAAUCUGACGCUGAAGCGCGAAGGCGUGGGGAGCAAACAGGAUUAGAUACCCUGGUAGUCCACGCUGUAAACGAUGAAUGUUAAAUAUGGGGAGUUUACUUUCUGUAUUACAGCUAACGCGUUAAACAUUCCGCCUGGGGACUACGGUCGCAAGAUUAAAACUCAAGGAAUUGACGGGGACCCGCACAAGCGGUGGAGCAUGUGGUUUAAUUCGAUGCAACGCGAAAAACCUUACCACUUCUAGACAUGAAAUAAAACCCUAUUCC